UAGAAACCACCCGAUCUCGUCCGAUCACGGAAGUUAAGCAAAUUCGAGCCUGGACUGAAGUUGAUGGGUGACCACUUUGGAAAACCAGGUACU